rnacentral:siRNA from 1 species
UGCACAGUGCAUCUCGUCCCUACC